AGCAGUCGCCGCGGUAAUCCAGAGGGUGCGAGCGUUAAUCGGAUUUACUGGGCGUAAAGCGUGCGUAGGCGGCUUUUUAAGUCGGAUGUGAAAUCCCUGAGCUUAACUUAGGAAUUGCAUUCGAUACUGGGAAGCUAGAGUAUGGGAGAGGAUGGUAGAAUUCCAGGUGUAGCGGUGAAAUGCGUAGAGAUCUGGAGGAAUACCGAUGGCGAAGGCAGCCAUCUGGCCUAAUACUGACGCUGAGGUACGAAAGCAUGGGGAGCAAACAGGAUUAGAUACCCGCGUAGUCCCUGUCUCUUAUAC
rnacentral:rRNA from 1 species